CUUCUACGAUCUCUCUGGAGGUCGAUACGUCGGAUCUACGCAUUGGACUGAUCCGGAGGAUCCGAGGAUCCAUAAGGCACGCGUGGCUGCGAUUGCCGAUUCGGUCGGUGGAGUUUUCGCAUCCUUUGAUUGCCUGCACAGAGAGAACAGUAUUCUCCAGAUCGACAAAUCCACGCUCCAAGUAGCCGCCGUGAUUGGCCAGCAAUCUGGAAACUCGGCUAAAACCACAGUACCGGAGAAACUCCGGUGGCUGCCAACGAACGGUCUUUUGGUCGGAUCAGCCGUUCAACGCGGAGUGUUUGGUUGCUCUGGCUACAUCCGGAUUUGGGACCCAAGGUCCAGGAACAUCGUAUGGGAAACGAGUGAGCCAGGAUCGGGACGAAGCACUAGGUUUGGAGACGCCUUAGCUGAUAUGGACGUGGACGUUGAAGAAUUGAUCCUCUUCAAGGUAUGUUCCAAGUCAGGAGACCUCGGAAUGGCAGACAUUCGUAAAUUGGGCGAAGAUCCAUGGGUAUAUAUGUCAGACGAGAAUCCCGGGGCGUGGAAGGCCGGUGACGGAGGCGGUUACAGCGUGGUACAUUGUUAUAGAAAGCAAGUGUUGGCCGCGAGAGGUGGUGCAUUAGAGGUAUGGUCAAGUGUUAAGGAGAAGACAAGUGUUGAUCCAAUUCGCAGAAGAAACUUUGUAGACAAGGAAGAUGAUUCCAAGAGAGGGAUGAUUUCGAAAAUUGAAGCAGGAGGUGAUCGGCUCUUUGUUUCUCGGGAAUUUAUGGAAGGUGUUGAGGUCUGGGAAACUUCUAAUUUCUCAGGUGUGAUAUCGGUUGAGUAAUAAUAGUUUCCAGAAGAACGGUGACCACCCUCUGUUUUCCCGGGAAAAUCUUGAUAGUUUCAGAUUUUCAAACUUUCCAGGGUCUAGUAGACUAGUGGUACUGAUUGUCUGCCCAGGAAAAUGUUUUGUAACUUGGGAGAACAGCUGAACAGAAUGAAGAACAGCUGAACAGAAUGAAGAACAGCUGAACAGAAUGAAGAACAUCAUCAAGAUUCAAACUUUACCCUUGUAGUAUAAGGCACUAGAGACCUCUUAUGUUGUAAAU
rnacentral:lncRNA from 1 species